rnacentral:rRNA from 1 species
CCUAACACAUGCAAGUCGAGCGGAUGAAGGGAGCUUGCUCCUGGAUUCAGCGGCGGACGGGUGAGUAAUGCCUAGGAAUCUGCCUGGUAGUGGGGGAUAACGUCCGGAAACGGGCGCUAAUACCGCAUACGUCCUGAGGGAGAAAGUGGGGGAUCUUCGGACCUCACGCUAUCAGAUGAGCCUAGGUCGGAUUAGCUAGUUGGUGGGGUAAAGGCCUACCAAGGCGACGAUCCGUAACUGGUCUGAGAGGAUGAUCAGUCACACUGGAACUGAGACACGGUCCAGACUCCUACGGGAGGCAGCAGUGGGGAAUAUUGGACAAUGGGCGAAAGCCUGAUCCAGCCAUGCCGCGUGUGUGAAGAAGGUCUUCGGAUUGUAAAGCACUUUAAGUUGGGAGGAAGGGCAGUAAGUUAAUACCUUGCUGUUUUGACGUUACCAACAGAAUAAGCACCGGCUAACUUCGUGCCAGCAGCCGCGGUAAUACGAAGGGUGCAAGCGUUAAUCGGAAUUACUGGGCGUAAAGCGCGCGUAGGUGGUUCAGCAAGUUGGAUGUGAAAUCCCCGGGCUCAACCUGGGAACUGCAUCCAAAACUACUGAGCUAGAGUACGGUAGAGGGUGGUGGAAUUUCCUGUGUAGCGGUGAAAUGCGUAGAUAUAGGAAGGAACACCAGUGGCGAAGGCGACCACCUGGACUGAUACUGACACUGA